UGAUCUUCCUGCCUUGGCCUCAAAGGUACUGGGAUUACAGUUACUCGCUGGAAGUGGUGGGAAUCAUAAAAAACAACCAGGACCUUGCAUCCUAGUAUAGAAGCCACAACUGUGGAAGCUUAACAGCCAGGCAAAUGCCCACAAACCACCACCCUCUGCAUUGGAUGCAUAUGUCCCUGACCUCGCAAGUGAAAAAGAGAGGAAGACGGCGACACCUCCAGGCUUCAGACUCAUUAAUCCUGUGAAUCGUGACCCACUCUUAAAACCAAGGAAGAGGGAAGUUUGGACACAGACACACACAGACAAGAGAAUACCAUGUGACAAAGGCAGAGAUUGGAAUGAUACAGCUGCAAGCCAGGGAUGCCAAGGAUUGCAGGAUGGAGUGCAGUGUCAUGAUCAUAGCUCACUGCAGCCUCG
rnacentral:lncRNA from 1 species